CUUCUCCAUUUAAUUUUUAUUUUAAUUCAACAUCGAGGUCGCAAUCAUUAUUUUUAAUAUGAUCUUAAAAAUAAUAUUACGCUGUUAUCCCUAAGGUAAUUAAUUCUAUUAUAAUUUUUAAAUUAUUAAACUCAUACAAUUUUUCAUUCAUUAAUGUUUCUCAUUAAUAUUAAUUAAAUAAAUAAUUACACUGAUAUAAUAAAGUUAAA
rnacentral:rRNA from 1 species